UACGUAGGGUGCAAGCGUUAUCCGGGAUUAUUGGGCGUAAAGAGCUCGUAGGCGGUUUGUCGCGUCUGCUGUGAAAACCGGAGGCUCAACCUCCGGCCUGCAGUGGGUACGGGCAAACUAGAGUGCGGUAGGGGAGAUUGGAAUUCCUGGUGUAGCGGUGGAAUGCGCAGAUAUCAGGAGGAACACCGAUGGCGAAGGCAGAUCUCUGGGCCGUAACUGACGCUGAGGAGCGAAAGCGUGGGGAGCGAACAGG
rnacentral:rRNA from 1 species